CGCAAGCCAGACUUGACCUUUCUACCAGUGAUUGUCAACCAGAGCAGUCGCAUUUAAUAAUUUUGCGUAAAGCAUAGCCUAAUCUGCAAGCACGUUUUUGUAUUAUAUUUUUUUUGCUAAAUUUAAAAAUACAAGGCUGUAAGUUUAAAUACUACGGAAAAGAAAUUCAUGCUUAAUGGCAUUGGUCCACAGAACUCCCAUUGGCUUGAGUCCAUGCAGGCAGCUAGCAAUUGGUACAUAGCUGACCGAAGUUUUAAAAAAAACAAAGCCCUCAGUCGGACGGAACAACCUUUCCAUGUUUUAAUUUUGGUGCCAAUCCCAAAAGGAUUGGCACUUAUACAGAAACUCCUAAGCUAAGUUUCACUCUCUGAAAAAAAUCGAGCAGAAGCGGAAUUACGGACACAGGGAGCAUGGCAGAUCAUCGCCACCUGACACAGUAGUGUUCGGCAUGUGUUAAACAAGCACGGAUCGACGCACACAAAAAAAAAAAACGAAACGACAAAAAUGUUAUAAGUUAGCAAACGCAAGUGCCGCCGUUUGUAAUAGUCCGAGCCAUAACUUACAGUGAAAAAUAUUUUUGAUUUACCAAGUUUGCUAUGCUCGAAUAAUUUAAUUGAAUAAGUUAUAAUAGUUAAUUACCGAGCGGCCAACCUGGCGAUUAAGAAGUUAUAUUUUUUUUUUUGUUUUGGUUUUGAUAAUAUUCCCUUUUAUUUUUUUUAUUGUAUUUUUUUUUUUGCGUUGGGUAUAAUGUGUUAAAGCGAAAAGUUGCCGAGUUAACAAUAAGUGAAAAGCAAAGUGAUUUUUGUCGGCAAAUGAAAAUUUUAAAACUUUAAUUCAUCUAAAACAAUGCGUCAGAAAAAUAAACCCUGCCUUUAAACAUAUUCAUAAAUACCACUCGUAUGGACACCGCCGAAAGUACUUUCGUCGCUGGAUCUUUUUAAUGGUAAGCUGGAGCACCCCAUUAUAAUUUACAAUUGUUCUGUUUACCAAGGGUAUUGCUUCGCCGUUUCACCAGCCAAAAUAAGUUUUGUUUUCAACAGCUAAAUGUGCAUGCGUACGACAAUUUUAAACAGUUGUUGUUGCAUUGAUCAGUCGCAGUCCGGUAAAUUUAUUAAACAGCUAAAAUGGCCUUUAGUCGCAUAAUAUAAUCUGCAUGGCUUAAUCCUACUUUUAUUAUAACGAUACAUAUUUCUGUUUUUGACAUAUUUGCAUAUAUAAUAUAUACAUAUUAACCCUUACUGUUUUUAGCAACUUUUCGCUUCGGUAUAGUAAUAAAAUAAAUCAACUAGUUUUUGGCCUAGAGUAAGCAAAAGAUAUGUAAAAUUUGGUUAGUGGUAGGGAAGCAACUUUAAAGUAAAAUUAUAUGUUGUAAUAUCAUUUGGAAUGUUAAGGAAUAAACACAACUUAAAUGAAAGAUCUAAUUGACAUAAAUAAAGAAGUUACCAUAAAUUCUA